CCCUUAGAUGUCCGGGGCCGCACGCGCGCUACACUGAAGGAAUCAGCGUGGCUUUCUCCCUGACCCGAAAGGGUUGGGAAACCCGUUGAAUCUCCUUCGUGAUAGGGAUUGGGGCUUGAAAUUGUUCCCCAUGAACGAGGAAUUCCCAGUAAGCGCGAGUCAUAAGCUCGCGUUGAUUACGUCCCUGCCCUUUGUACACACCGCCCGUCGCUACUACCGAUUGAACGGUUUAGUGAGGGCCUCGGAUUGGUCUCGGCCCGCUCUUUGCCGGGCGGCGCCGUUGGUCGAGAAGACGCUCGAACUUGAUCGUUUAGAGGAAGUAAAAGUCGUAACA
rnacentral:rRNA from 1 species